rnacentral:lncRNA from 1 species
AUAUAAACUCUGAUAGCUGCACUCAUACGCACAUUCGUUAAUACAGUUUUAAUGUAAACUACCUAUAAUCGAUUUAUAAAUAAUACUUCUUGAAACAAUUAAAUUGUUAAAAAUGAGGUUCAGUGCUUGUUUUGUUUUUUCACUACUUGUCUUCAUUGUCAUGACUUUUGGAACAGGUGUUGAAGCGCUGAACAAGAGGAUAGACCGAUGUACCAUAGAUUGCACACAGAGAUGCCAAAUGAAGGGAAGACCAACAGGGAGAUGCUUACGACGAAAUAUUUGUCUUUGCUCCAAUUCAAUAGAACCAUGAGUCUAUAUUGAGUUACAUAUUUGCACUUCUAUCAAGCUUAGAAGGAGAUCUAUCACCAUACCACAUGGCGUACUUUGGAUCCUGACAUCGAUCAAUAUAAAAUGAUAUAAACUACACAGUUUGAUUACUCAAAACUUGAUGAUAUUGGAAGUAUAUUGAAAUGGAGAAAAACAAAAUCGGAAAGCAAAACCCAGGCUCAAAAGUAGCUGAGGAUGAACCGCGUUGAUGACAAAACGCUAAGAUCUGGGACUUAAAUAAGCCGCUGAAAAGGAAACAUGUUCUUGGGGCUUUAGCUCGGAAAUGAUGCUUGUGUGGUGUUUCUCCUCAGGCAAUGAUGUACUUUCCAUAGUGCCUUGUAUGUUAGCUUGCUUAUCCUUCCACUUGCUCAUUGGAGGAUCCGUAUGACGCCUCCGUGAAUGAUGUAACGUUGUGGUGAAGGUUUUCGAAAAAUUAUAUAGGUGUAAUACUAGAAUUUACACGCCGAGAAGAAUGUACAAAGAUGUUGGAAUAUGACAGUUUUUUCAGGUUGACUUUGUAAUCACCUGCGAACUUUUAAUUUAUACAAUUUAAUUAAUUUAUGUAAAUAAAAUUUUGUGCCAAUUACGAUUUUCCAAUUAGUUAUAUUGUUUAGUUGUACUUUUUAUGAACUAGCUGUUUGUAAUUCAUCAACUAGCUGUUUGUAAAACAUCAUUUUCAGCUAUGUAAUUUAGUUGGGUCGUGUGGUUCCCGGUCUAAAAAAUGGGCCGUGGGUUUUCGGCACUUUACAAUAGGUCCAUCACUAUCUCAUGGAUGUCAUGUCAUAAAAGACGACUUAGGGAAGAUGCACACAUUAAUAAAAAACAUAGUAUGUUGUUAGCCUGUGCAGAUUGUAGAAGUCAUUAAAUGUUAUACAACUAAAGAUUGAUAUAGAAGUACAAAAGAGAAAUAUUGUUAAGUACUUAAUUGCCACUUAGUUUAACUAGUCUGACAAUAAACUUAAAGUCAUAUUAACUGUAUUUCUUUUUAUAUUUAUACACUUCUAAAAUGUACUUAUUAUGAAAUUAAGAAUUCCUUAAAAAUAAGUAAACGAUGUACAUUCUAAAGAUUAUGACGUUGGGAAGAAUUAAAAAACCCAAAACUAUGGGAGAUAAGGGGAAUCUAAUACAUACUUAUUAUUCUAAAAAUUAUAUUCUAUUUUAUCUGAACUUGGUUUAAUCAACGUGAAAGAUAUAAAUAUGUUCGUCUUAGAAACGUACCCGAAACUUCUAAUUGUGUGUGAGUGCUAACAACUUCCUUCGCUUUGGGCGAAGUGGAGUCUACGAGUACAUUAGAUACUUUAAGAAUAGGUAAACAGGUGAAGGUGUACUAUGUUUGGCUGUUUACCUAUUCCGUAAUUAUCGUAGUUGGUAUUCAAGGGAGAUGGGAACUCGCAGAAUAAGUACGUUGUUUUUAGCGCCAUAAUGAAGUGUUCUGAAACUUCUCCGUAGGCCGCUGGUAUAGUUUUGGCAAAUAGGAUGAAUUCAAUGGCGCCGCAUCGUAUUUAACGAUAAGUGGCGUCACCUUGCGAUCAUAGGUUGGGUAAAUUAGUUUUUACACGAAGCACAACUUACAGGGGAACCUAACCGGGUUUGGAUCCUGGUUACACAUCCAGUUGCCUGAAAAGAUAAGUAUUAUGGUUUCUUGAUGCACUUUUCCCUCACCGUAAGUUGAUAAAAAGUUAAUACGAGUAACUAAAAUUAAAUGUCAAAUUUUGGCUCGAUGAAUUUUCAACUUGAUGUAAUUGAUGCAUAGGUACAAAUGCAUUUGGCAGCUCCGUUCUUAAGGAAGACAAAUGGUCUGCUGGACAUCUGCAGUUAGAAUUUGUGAGAUGCAGAUAUAAUGAUAAACGUCCCGUAUGGUCCUGGGCAGUUUAGAAUAGAACAUUUAUCCCUUAGGUGUCUAUAAGAGGCUACAAAGAGAAUAGGUUUACAACUAGAGCAACGAAGAUGAUUCAAUCUGAAAAAAGAUCCACUGUUCAGAAAAUUUUAUGUGAGUUAUGAAAUGCAAUGUUUGAUAUUUUAGUUUUUGCUCACAAAUUUCGCCUGGAAACAUGUUAUUUUUUAAUAAAUCCGUUUUUGAAGGGUUUCAGGAUGAAAUAUUUCCUAGUUUUUAAGGAGUGUUUUCUUUCGGAAGUGGAUAGAGAACGGGCAAAGAAAAAAAAAGAAAUAAAAAAGUACACCAUAUAAUGCCAUAAGUACCCAAAUUAAGCAACAUGAUGUACACUUAGCUAAGAAAAUGUUUAAGGGCAUUGGAAUGUGCUUAUUUCCUUAUUUACUCCGUCUGGAUGGACAUAAUCCAUGAUAAUUUUGAAAAAUCUAUUUAUAGAAUAAAAUAAAAAAAAAAAAA